CAGCAGCCGCGGGAAUACAGAGGGUGCGAGCGUUAAUCGGAUUUACUGGGCGUAAAGAGCUCGUAGGCGGUUUGUCGCGUCUGCCGUGAAAGUCCGGGGCUCAACCCCGGAUCUGCGGUGGGUACGGGCAGACUAGAGUGAUGUAGGGGAGACUGGAAUUCCUGGUGUAGCGGUGAAAUGCGCAGAUAUCAGGAGGAACACCGAUGGCGAAGGCAGGUCUCUGGGCAUUAACUGACGCUGAGGAGCGAAAGCAUGGGGAGCGAACAGGAUUAGAUACCCGCGUAGUCCCUGUCUCUUAUAA
rnacentral:rRNA from 1 species